GCAGUUCCUAACUUUGGAGAGGAGCCAAACCAGGGAGUGUGGGAGUUGGCAGGGAGGGAGAAAAUGGGGCCCUGGACCACUAGAGACCUAUAGUUCCCAAGAAAAGGGGUGGCUGGGAGGAACUUUCAUCCCCCACAGUGUGCUAUAUUACAGGGUCCAGGGACAAAUACCAGCUUCCCCUCUUCUUUCUCCCAAAUACUGUAUGUAUGGUCGACCGGAAGAUGAAAUAAGAAUUGGAAGUGGGAUUUUUUAUGUGACUGAACAACUUUGUGACCUGUUAGGAUGGAGACGUCAUUGAUUCAUUUUCAUUUCACUUAGGAAGAAAUUUUAGACUAGAUUAGGAACGUGAUUUUCCUAAAGAUGCCUCCCAGGAUACUUUGCUCUCAGAUCUAAUAAAUAAUGCUUAAAUGUUGUAAAGAAACUAACUUCUAAUGAAGUUGAUUAAUAUUUACAGAAAUAAUAAAUUGCCCAGAUGAACAGAACAGGAAGAAUACUUAUUCUUACUUCAUUUUUAAAUUUGGAAAUUUUUAAUUAUUUUAGAAUAUUUUCCCAUGGUUUCAAGAUUUAUGUUCUUUCCCUCCCCUCCCUCUACCCCUGAACCAUAGCCCAUUCACAGUUCCACUGGGUUUUACAUGUGUCAUUGAUCAAGACCUAUUUCCAUAUUUUUGAUAUUUGCACUAGGGUGAUUGUUUAGGAUCUAUGUCCCCAAUCAUAUCCCCAUCAACCCAUGUGAUCAAGCAGUUGUUUUUCUUCUGUUUCUAUUCCCACAAUUCUUCCUCAUAAGUUCCUCAGAAUUGUUCUGAAUCAUUGCAUUGCUGCUAAUAGAGAAGUCUAUUACAUUCAAUUGUGUCAGUGUAUCAGUCUCCUGGUUCAGCUCCUUUCACUCUGUAUCAAUUCCUAGAGGUUGUUCCAGUUCUCAUGGAAUUCUUCCAGUCCAUUAUUCCUUUGAGCACAAUAGUAUUCCAUCACCAGCAUAUGCCAUAAUUUGUUCAGCCAUUCUCCAAUCAAGGGACACCCCCUCAUUUUCCAAUAUUUUGCCACCACAAAGAGUGCAGCUAUAAAUAUUUUUGCACAAGUCUUUUUCCUUAUGAUCUCUUUGGGGUAUAAACCCAUCAAUGGUAUGGCUGGAUCAAAGGGCAGGCAGUUUUUUAGCGCUCUUUGGGCAUAGUUCUAAAUUGCCAUCCAGAAUGGUUACUUUACCCUUACUUUAGGAGAAGAAAUUGGAACAAGUCAUAAAUGAUCUCCCUAGGUGAAAAAAACCUUCCAUAGAUGUAUUGAUGAAUGAAUUCUACCAAAUAUUUAAAGAACAAUGAAUUUCAAGGUUACAUAAACUGUUUGUAAAAGUAGAUAGAGCAGUUCCAUCAAAUCCCAUAUGAUCUUGCUAACUAAACAGAGAGAGAAUUAAAACAAAGGGGGGGAAAUUAUAAACCACUUGCCCUGAAGAGAGGUUAUAGUAUUAUAUCACAAAAAUUAUACCCUAUAAUCUGCCUGGAAUAUGACAGGUUUAAGAUUAACAAUUUAAAAUAAAUAACCAUUUUAGUAACAAAAACAAUAAAAAUAAUGUUUAUUUUAAUAGAUGUAAAAAAAAGAUUUUUACAAAAUGCAACAUGCCUGUUAAAAGCAAAAGAAAACAUGGGAAUAAAGUAGAGCUUUCCUUAAAAUGACUAGUACCUAUCUAAAACCAAGAGCAAGCAUUUUCACUAAUGAAGAUAAGCUAGAAGUCUUUUCAAGAAGAUCAAGGGUGAAGCAAGAAUGUCCAGAAUAACUUAUUGAAUAAUAUAAUUGAAAUGCUAGCUAUAGUUAUAAGACAGUAUCAAAAAUUUGACGUUUAAGCAAAGAGGAAACAAAAGUAGCACUUUUUUGCAGAUACAAUGAUUCACUUAGAGAACUCCCAGAGACUUAACUAAAAGAAUAAGUGAAACAAUUUAAGCAGAAUUAUAGGAUAUAAAAUAAACCCAAAUCAUCAGCAUAUUACCAACAAAAUGUAACAGGAAGAAAUAGAAUAAUUGUACUUAAAAUAGCUACAGUAAGUAUAAAAUACUUGACAGUCUACUAGCCCAGUCACACAUAGGAAACAUCUGAACACAAUUACAAAACACUCUUCACACAAACAGAUCUAAUUAAUUUUAUAAAUUUAAUUGUUUAUUGGUAGGCCAAACCUUUAUGAUACAGUACUGCCUAAAUUAACUUACUUAUUCAGUACUAAUACAAUCAGUCUACCAAAGAAUUACUUUCUAAAGCUAGAAGAAAUAACAAAAUUCACCUGGAAGAACAAAAGGGCAAGAAUAAUAGAAGAAUCCUUUAAAAAAAAAUGAGAGGGAAGGGGACCGAACAAUUGCAGAUCUCAAACUGACCCUAACUCUACAAAGCUAUAAUCAUCACAACCAUUAGAUAUGAGAACUCAAUGAAACGCCUUCUACAGAAGCAAAUGAACACAACUGAAUAUUUGAUAAAUGGAAAAAAAUGGUGUAAGAAUUCACUAUUUUGACAAAAACUUUUGUGGAAACUGGAAAGCAGUCUGACAGAAACUAGUCAUACAUCAACACUUUGUAUGCCAAGAUAAGCUCAUAAAGGCUUUAUGAUAAUAGAGAUAAAGCAAAAUGUCAGAAGCAAAUAGUGGAGUAUGGAAGAAAUUACUCUUCAGAUCUGUGGAUAGGAGAAGAAUUAACAAAAAAAAAAAAACCAAGACAAUGGAGCACAGGAAAUAAAAUGUAUAAUUUUAAUUGUAGAAAAUUAAAAAUGUUUUUACAAACAAAAGCAAAUGCAGUUAAAAUUAGGAGAAAAGCAAGAAAUUCUUUCUUGGAAGGGGUAUGGAACUUUGCAGGAAGAUUUUUAGGUAAUUAUUUCAUUUCUGAAAUAUAUAGGGACCUGAAUCAUAUUUAUAAGAGUCAUUCCCCAAUUGAUAAAUGGACAAAGGAUAUGAAUAGGUAGUUUUCAGAAGAAAUCAAAGUUGUCAAUAUCAAUAUUACCUCAAAUCACUAACAGAGAAAUGCUCACUGAAACAACAGAGGUACCACCUAACACUCAUCAGAUUGAUGAAAAAUGUACAAAAGGAAGAGACAGAUACUGGAGAGGAUUGUGAAAAUAGAUACACUAAUGGAUUCUGUGUGGAUCUAACUAUUCCAUCCAUUCUGGAAAGGAUAGAAUCAUAUCCUAAAAACUAUUAAACCAUGCAUAUCUUUAACCUAUCUAUACACCUAGUAGGUCUAUAUCCAAGGAAGAAAAAGACCAGUAUUACAAACAUUGAUAGAAGCUCUUUUUAUGGUGAUAAAGAAUUAGCAGUUGAGGAAUGGCUGAACAAGACAUAGAUUAUGAAUUUAAUAGAAUAAGAUUUUGCUGUAAGAAAUCAUAAAAACUUGGAAGACAUAUGAAUUGACUCAAAGAGAAAUGAAUAGAAUUAGAAGAACAAUUUUGACAACAGAAAUAUUAUAAAGACAGUCAAUUCUGAAAUUCUUGUUACCUCCUGUCAACAUAACUUCCAACCUUAAUUCUAAUAAAUUCAUGAUGAAGAAGGUUAGCCAUUUCCAGAUAGAGAAUGGAUUCAGAGAACAGAUUUGAAUCAAAUUUUUUCUCUAUCUUAAAAAAAGUAUGAACUUGGCAAAUCAGAAAGUUGUUUUGUAUGACUAUACAUAUUUGCAAUGUUUUUUUUAUUUUUCUUUCCUUCUGAAUGGGUAGAAAAGGGGAAAGGAAAGAAUUUGGGACUGAAAAAGUUGAGUUAAAACAAGUAACACUAAAGAUUCAGCUGUAAUUGGGUUUGGUUUCUAGAAACUUUAGAAGUGAUCCUAUUCCCUAGGUUCACUGGAGAGGAAUGUGAAGGGUAGCUCUAAGAUAGGAUUAUGGGUACCUUGAAGAUGGAGUGCAUUCCAAAACACCUCUGCCACCAAAUGGAUCUUCAGCAGAUGGGCUUGCAGUUCAUGAAGCUAGAAGCCAGAAUUUUUGACUCGGGUCUUGGCCAGAAACAUAGAGAGGGAGGGAUCUGUGGGUAGGAAGAGUAGGGAGAGACUGGAAAACUAGAGCAGGGAGGCUGGAGCUAGAGGACUAAAGAAUCAAUAUAAUUGUAAUCAUGGAAGGGACCUCAGCAGAUCAGAGGAGGUUAAAUGAUUUGCUCAAGGUGACACAUCAUCAGAGGCAGGAAUAUGAACCCAGGACCUCUCUUCUAGUCAUUGUUCUUUUGAUAAAGCAUCAGAUCCUUGGAUCUUUGAAAGAAAGAGAGGUUGAUGAGGCAGAGCAGAGAGAUCAAAGGUCUUUGUCCCAGGAAAUGGGUUGGUGGGGAGACAGUGGGGAAGAGGAAGUCAAGGUAGAAGGAUGCCUAGUUUCCUCAUCUGGAUGGUUAUGGGUAACAUCUUCCCAUCAGGCUCCAUCUUAAAAAUAACCAGAGGGACAGCCAGAUACUGUCUCUUCCCCUAGAUCACAUUGACCUGGAUUCCAUCCACCAGGGAAAAGUCAAACAGGCGGCCCUCCUGGGAAAUAGAUUGGUCUGAAGUCAAGAAUCAGAGAUUAAUGCCAGAACACUUUUAGUACCAGAGAGUCAAAGGCUCAACAUAAAGGACUAAAACAGAAGUUCAGAUUCUUAACUGAGGCCCAGAUCCAUAGAAUAUGAAAAUAGGAAGGCCCUUUGGAUGUUACCUAAUCCAGCUGCUUCGUUUUACAGUGAUGGAAGAUGAGACUCGUAGAAGUAAAAUGACUUGUUCAAGGUCACACAGCUACUUCAGCUUAGCAGAGUUUAGAAACCAAGUCUUUUUUUGAGAAAAAAAAAUUUCAAAUUAGUUAAUUUAGAAUAUUUUUCCAUGGUUACAAGAUUCAUGUUCUUUCCCUCCCCUCUCCCCAAUCCCCUCCCAUAGCUGACUUGAAGUUCCACUGGGUUUUACAUAUUUCUAUAUUAUUGAUAUUUGCAUUAGGGGGAUCCUUUAGAGCCCAUCGACCUAUGUGAUCAAGCAGUUGUUUUUCUUCUGUGUUUCUAUUCCCACAGUUCUUCCUCUGGAUGUGGAUAGCAUUCUUUCUCAUGAGUCCCUCAGAAUUGCCCUGGAUCAUUGUAUUGCUGCUAGUAGAGAAGUCCAUUACGUUUGAUUGUGCCACAGUGUAUCAGUCUCUGUACAGUGUUCUCCUGGAGACUAAGUCUUGUGAUGCUAGUUGUUGUUCAGUCAUUUCAGGUGUCCAAGACCAAAGUCACCAGUGCAUGUGGAAUAUGUAUGCUGACUUCGAUGGCCAAAGGAACUACUUCCACCAGUGACCCUGGGUAUUGGACUUAUUUGCAUCAAUGAUAUAGGCCAAGUUUCCUCUUCAAUAGUCUUUUCAAUUGGGAAAUGUUGGGGGAAAGAUUUCCAGUCACCAGCAGGAAAAAUGGAUAACCUUCUGGAGAAAGUCUUUUUCCACCUUCUCAAGACUGAGAGACCAACUCCUCUACCAGCCAGUCUCCUCCUCCUCCUCCUCUAGAUUCCCAAAAUCCUGGGGCCCCUCCCCCAUCGAGGUGAUCAGUUUCACACACUCUUCAGCUGGCACUUUUCCUUUAGUGCUAGCCUCUGUCACAUUUGUUACUGACUGGCCAAGCUGCCCUUGUGACCCCAGAAGACUUGGUCAAAAUCUUCAGCUUGGAUUUUGGUUCCAGGAACUCAGGAGGAUGCCCAUACAUUUAAGGACUACCUCCACCAAUCUGGGAUAAGUAAUAAAGGAAUUAAAUGAGGAA